rnacentral:piRNA from 1 species
UGGCCAAGAUGUAACUGACAUGCACUC